rnacentral:rRNA from 1 species
CACGGACCGCACGAACGUUAUUCGGUAUCACUGGGCUUAAAGGGUGCGUAGGCGGCUUUGCAAGUUGGGUGUGAAAGCCCUCGGCUCAACCGAGGAAUUGCGCUCAAUACUGCCGAGCUCGAGAGAGACAGAGGUAAGCGGAACUAAUGGUGGAGCGGUGAAAUGCGUUGAUAUCAUUAGGAACACCGGUGGCGAAGGCGGCUUACUGGGUCUUUUCUGACGCUGAGGCACGAAAGCCAGGGGAGCGGACGGG